CGCACAUUGCGCCUGUUAGUAUUCUGAUAGGCAUGCCUGUUCGAGCGUCAUUUCAACCCUCAGGCCCAGCCUGGCGUUGGGGCCCCGCGACUGCGGACCCCGAAAUCUAGUGGCGGGCUCGCUAUAAGCUUCAGCGCAGUAGAUUUUCUUCGCUGGGAGUUUUUAGCGGGCGCUUGCCGUUAAAAACCCAACUUUGUACUGAUUGACCUCGGAUCAGGUAGGAAUACCCGCUGAACUUAA
rnacentral:misc_RNA from 1 species